AAGAAUUUAAAAGUCGAACAGACUUAAAAUUUGAACGGCUACACCCAAAAUUAUAUCUUAAUCCAACAUCGAGGUCGCAAUCUUUUUUAUCGAUAUGAACUCUCCAAAAAAAUUACGCUGUUAUCCCUAAAGUAACUUAAAUUUUUAAUCAUUAUUAAUGGAUCAAUUAUUCAUAAAUUAAUGGUUUUAAAAAUUAAAAGUUUUUUAAAUUUUAAUAUCACCCCAAUAAAAUAUUUUAAUUUAUUAGAAUAAAAAUAAUCUUUAUAAUUAAAAUAAACAAAAUAUAAAGAUUUAUAGGGUCUUCUCGUCUUUUAAAUUUAUUUUAGCUUUUUGACUAAAAAAUAAAAUUCUAUAAAAAUUUAAAUGAAACAGUUAAUAUUUCGUCCAACCAUUCAUUCCAGCCUUCAAUUAAAAGACUAAUGAUUAUGCUACCUUUGCACAGUUAGAAUACUGCGGCCAUUUAAAAUUUUCAGUGGGCAGGUUAGACUUUAAAUUUAAUUCAAAAAGAC
rnacentral:rRNA from 1 species